GACGAACGCUGGCGGCGUGCUUAACACAUGCAAGUCGAACGGAAAGGCCCUGCUUUUGUGGGGUGCUCGAGUGGCGAACGGGUGAGUAACACGUGAGUAACCUGCCCUUGACUUUGGGAUAACUUCAGGAAACUGGGGCUAAUACCGGAUAGGAGCUCCUGCUGCAUGGUGGGGGUUGGAAAGUUUCGGCGGUUGGGGAUGGACUCGCGGCUUAUCAGCCUGUUGGUGGGGUAGUUGCUUACCAAGGCUGUGACGGGUAGCCGGCCUGAGAGGGUGACCGGCCACAAUGGGACUGCGAUACGGCCCAGACUGCUACGGGAGGCAGCAGUGGGGAAUAUUGCACAAUGAGCGGAAGCCUGAUGCAGCAACGCCGCGUGCGGGAUGACGGCCUUCGGGUUGUAAACCGCUUUCGCCUGUGACGAAGCGUGAGUGACGGUAAUGGGUAAAAAAGCACCGGCUAACUACGUG
rnacentral:rRNA from 1 species